UACGUAGGGGGCAAGCGUUGUCCGGAAUUAUUGGGCGUAAAGAGCGUGUAGGCGGCCAGGUAGGUCAGCUGUGAAAACUCGAGGCUCAACCUCGAGACGCCGGUUGAAACCAUCUGGCUAGAGUCCGGAAGAGGAGAGUGGAAUUCCUGGUGUAGCGGUGAAAUGCGCAGAUAUCAGGAAGAACACCCGUGGCUAAGGCGGCUCUCUAGUACGGUACUGACGCUGAGACGCGAAAGCGUGGGGAGCGAACAGG
rnacentral:rRNA from 1 species